rnacentral:rRNA from 1 species
UACGUACGAGGCAAGCGUUAUCCGGAAUUACUGGGCGUAAAGCGCGCGCAGGCGGAUGUUUAAGUAGGGCGUGAAAUCUCCCGGCCUAACUGGGAGGGGUCGCUCUAGACUGGGCGUCUUGAGGACUGCAGAGGUGGGUGGAAUUCCUGGUGUAGCAGUGAAAUGCGUAGAUAUCGAGAGGAACACCAGUGGCGAAGGCGAGUCCCUGGACAACACCUGACACUGAGGCACGAAAGCUAGGGGAGCAAACAGG